GGAAGUAUGUGCUUAUUUCCUUACUUGUCCUGAAUUUCGCUCUGAGCCAAGGUGUGCUUUGCGAAACAUUUCCCAUCCAGCCUGCAGCAGCAAGAGCCAGGCAAGUGCCAUUUGCAGUGCCCACAGAGCAGAAGGGAACCACUCAGCAACAGAACAAAGAUCAAGUGCUGUGUCCACACAUCAGGGUCGUGCUCAGCCAUGAGAAGGAGCCGGCUCAUUCUCGGGCAGUUACUCAGAGGAUAGAAGGAGGACAAGCCAGACGGAAGAUCCUGCUGGAUUCCACUGAUAACGGUUCCAAAACCAGACAAAUCAAGUCUACAGUACUGGAGUAAUCCCAGUAAUCCCAGUGAACUGGCUAUGUUCUUUUUUUAAAUCUGGGUGCUGUUUAUAUGAGCGUAUGAACUUUGCAGAAACAUACUAAGCCUAUGACUCUAUCAUUUGCUUAUUGUGUACUGUUCUUUAAUAAAAAAAACUUAUAUUAGAA
rnacentral:lncRNA from 1 species